GCAUCAGUAGUGCAACGGACUAGAGUACGCGCUCCCGGAUAGGGUGAGAUGUGGGUUCGGUUCCCGCCUGACGCG